rnacentral:rRNA from 1 species
AUUGAACGCUGGCGGCAGGCCUAACACAUGCAAGUCGAACGAGUGGCGGACGGGUGAGAAAUGUCUGGGAAACUGCCCGAUGGGGGGGGAUAACUACGAGAAGCGGUAGCUAAUACCGCAUACCAUCGGAUGUGCCCAGAUGGGAUUCGCUAGUAGGUGGGGUAACGGCUCACCUAGGCGAAGAUCCCUAGCUGGUCUGAGAGGAGGACCAGCCACACUGGAACUGAGACACGGUCCAGACUCCUACGGGAGGCAGCAGUGGGGAAUGUUGAACAAGGGGGGCAAGCCUGAUGCAGCCAUGCGGAGUGUAUGAAGAAGGCCUUCGGGUGGUAAAGCACUGUCAGCGAGGAGGCGUUACUCGCAGAAGAAGCACCGGCUAACGCCGUGCCAGCAGCCGCGGUAAUUC